AUACGGAGGGGGUUAGCGUUGUUCGGAAUUACUGGGCGUAAAGCGCACGUAGGCGGACUGGAAAGUUGGGGGUGAAAUCCCGGGGCUCAACCCCGGAACUGCCUCCAAAACUUCCAAUCUAGAGAUCGAGAGAGGUGAGUGGAAUUCCAAGUGUAGAGGUGAAAUUCGUAGAUAUUUGGAGGAACACCAGUGGCGAAGGCGGCUCACUGGCUCGAUACUGACGCUGAGGUGCGAAAGCGUGGGGAGCAAACCGGAUUAGAAACCCCAGUAGUCC
rnacentral:rRNA from 1 species